rnacentral:rRNA from 1 species
GACGAACGCUGGCGGCGUGCUUAACACAUGCAAGUCGAACGGAAAGGCCCUGCUUUUGUGGGGUGCUCGAGUGGCGAACGGGUGAGUAACACGUGAGUAACCUGCCCUUGACUUUGGGAUAACUUCAGGAAACUGGGGCUAAUACCGGAUAGGAGCUCCUGCUGCAUGGUGGGGGUUGGAAAGUUUCGGCGGUUGGGGAUGGACUCGCGGCUUAUCAGCUUGUUGGUGGGGUAGUGGCUUACCAAGGCUUUGACGGGUAGCCGGCCUGAGAGGGUGACCGGCCACAUUGGGACCGAGAUACGGCCCAGACUCCUACGGGAGGCAGCAGUGGGGAAUAUUGCACAAUGGGCGGAAGCCUGAUGCAGCAACGCCGCGUGCGGGAUGAAGGCCUUCGGGUUGUAAACCGCUUUCGCCUGUGACGAAGCGUGAGUGACGGUAAUGGGUAAAGAAGCACCGGCUAACUACGUG